GAUGAAAGCUAGCGGCAGGCUUAAUACAUGCAAGUCGUGGGGCAGCAUGAGUAGCAAUACUUGAUGGCGACCGGCAAACGGGUGCGGAACACGUACACAACCUUCCGAUAAGUGGGGAAUAGCCCAGAGAAAUUUGGAUUAAUACCCCGUAACAUAUAGAGUAGGCAUCUUCUUUAUAUUAUAGCUUCGGCGCUUAUUGAUGGGUGUGCGUCUGAUUAGGUGGUUGGCGGGGUAACGGCCCACCAAGCCUACGAUCAGUAGCGGAUGUGUGAGCAUGCUCAGCCACACGGGCACUGUGACACGGGCACGUCUCCUACGGGAGGCAGCAGUAAGAAAUAUUGAACAAUGGGCGAAAGCCUGAUCCAGCCAUGCCGCGUGAAGGAUUAAGGUCCUCUGGAUUGUAAACUUCUUUUAUUUGGGACGAAAAAAGGGAAUUCUUUCCCACUUGACGGUACCAAGUGAAUAAGCACCGGCUAACUCCGUGCCAGCCGCCGCCGUAA
rnacentral:rRNA from 1 species